rnacentral:rRNA from 1 species
GACGAACGCUGGCGGCGUGCUUAACACAUGCAAGUCGAACGGAGAGGCCCUGCUUUUGUGGGGUGCUCGAGUGGCGAACGGGUGAGUAACACGUGAGUAACCUGCCCUUGACUUUGGGAUAACUUCAGGAAACUGGGGCUAAUACCGGAUAGGAGCUCCUGCUGCAUGGUGGGGGUUGGAAAGUUUCGGCGGUUGGGGAUGGACUCGCGGCUUAUCAGCUUGUUGGUGGGGUAGUGGCUUACCAAGGCUUUGACGGGUAGCCGGCCUGAGAGGGUGACCGGCCACAUUGGGACUGAGAUACGGCCCAGCCUCCUACGGGAGGCAGCAGUGGGGAAUAUUGCACAAUGGGCGGAAGCCUGAUGCAGCGACGCCGCGUGCGGGAUGACGGCCUUCGGGUUGUAAACCGCUUUCGCCUGUGACGAAGCGUGAGUGACGGUAAUGGGUAAAGAAGCACCGGCUAACUACGUG